UACGAACCGUCCGAACGUUACUCGGAAUCACUGGGCUUAAAGGGUGCGUAGGCUGCGCGGAGGGUGGGAUGUGAAAUCCCCCGGCUCAACCGGGGAAUAGCGUCCCAAACCGCCGUGCUCGAGGGAGACAGAGGUGAGCGGAACUGAUGGUGGAGCGGUGAAAUGCGUUGAUAUCAUCAGGAACACCUGUGGCGAAAGCGGCUCACUGGGUCUUUCCUAACGCUGAGGCACGAAAGCUAGGGGAGCGAACGGG
rnacentral:rRNA from 1 species